CCUGAUAAAAAUGUGGCUACAAAAGAUCAAAUUUAUCCAUUUGUAGUUGUUUCUUACCAUUUGUCAUUAUUUCUAAGUCACUGUAAAGUGCCAUGUUUUUUGAUAGAUUUGGCAACAUUUGAUGUUGCUUUAUGUGAGGUAGCAUAACUUUAGCAGCAAGGAAGGUGAUAAGUAAAUAGCAUUAGCAGACGAUUGACGUUCUUUUAAGCAUACUUUAUUGCUGGCAUCUCCCUUUCACCAUAAAACAAUCUAUCAGGCAUGCAAAAAUCCCACUUGCUUUAUACAAGACUUUGCCCACACCUGACCUCGUUAGUCCCUACCAUUGAAACGAAUAGGUUAAACCAAACAAUACAUUUCUAAACAAAGAACAGGAAUAAGGUCAUGCAUGAAACUGAAACUCAUUUACUCAGCUAAAUGGUUUGUAAAGUAAAACACUGCAUACAAUAUAACUCAAAAGGCUAAUUUAAAGAAAACAAACAAUACUAUACAAAAUGAAAAACCCUCCAUUUGGUUACACCCAGUGAUGCAAUCAUUGACCUCAUGACCCUAUAUAAACAGGAAGUAGUGGGCGGCCCUUCCCACAUACCUGAUUUACACAUAGGACCUGCUCAAAGGAACACCUAAUGGUAAGCAGUUCUAGCCAGUAAAGUAAACACAGCACACGUAACCUUGUCUCUACAUACUAUCCCGGGUCUGUUUGUGGUAGCAUUGGUUAUAUUCAUUUCAUCUGUGCAAAUGUACUUAAAGCUAAAUGUCACUUCAUCAUUAAUUGAUUUGACUCUUUCAUUUGUUUGUUUUUUGGUUAUGCCAUAAGGAGAUUGCAAUUCUAGCCAGUAAAGCAUGUAGUAAUUCCUCACUGUAACAUCACCACUUUCUAAUUACACUGUUUGUUUGGUUUUUGUGGUGGUGGGGGCUUUUUUAGACUCUGUGUCUGUAACCUGUCUGAGAGAAGCUGUAAAGUUCUGUCCUCGGCUCUCAGCUCCUCUGGCCUAAGAGAGCUGGACCUCAGUGACAAUGACCUGGAGGAUUCAGGAGUGAAGCUUCUAUCAACUGCACUGGAGAGUCCACAAUGUACACUAGAAUGUCUUAGUUUGUCAUGCUGUCGGAUCACAGAAGAAGGCUGUAGUUGUCUGGCCUCUGCUCUGAGCUACAACCCCUCCCAUCUGAGAAAGCUGGACCUGAGCUACAAUCAUCCAGGAGACUCAGGAAUGAAGCUGCUGUUGGCUGGACUGAAGGAUCCAGGCUGGAGACUGGACACUCUCAGGGUGAAGCCUGCUGGA